UACAGAGGGUGCAAACGUUGUUCGGAUUUAUUGGGCGUAAAGCGUGUGUAGGCGGCUUCGCAAGUUGGAUGUGAAAUCCCACGGCUCAACCGUGGACGUGCAUCCAAAACUGCGUCGCUAGAGUCUCGGAGAGGAAGGUGGAAUGCUUGGUGUAGAGGUGAAAUUCGUAGAUAUCAAGCAGAACACCUGCGGCGAAGGCGGCCUUCUGGACGAUGACUGACGCUGAGACACGAAAGCGUGGGGAGCAAACAGG
rnacentral:rRNA from 1 species